GAUGAAGAACGUAGUGAAAUGCGAUAAGUAAUGUGAAUUGCAGAAUUUAGUGAAUCAUCGAAUCUUUGAACGCACAUUGCGCCCGCCAGUAUUCUGGCGGGCAUGCCUGUUCGAGCGUCAUUUCAACCAUCAAGCCCCCGGCUUGUGUUGGGGACCUGCGGCUGCCGCAGGCCCUGAAAACCAGUGGCGGGCUCGCUAGUCACUCCGAGCGUAGUAAUACAUCUCGCUCAGGGCGUGCUGCGGGUUCCGGCCGUUAAAAGCCUUAUUUACCCAAGGUUGACCUCGGAUCAGGUAGGAAGACCCGCUGAACUUAAGCAUAUCAAUAAGCGGAGGA
rnacentral:misc_RNA from 1 species